rnacentral:tRNA from 1 species
ACAGGUGCAGUGGGUAGCACUGUUGCCUCAAAGCAAAAGGUCCCGGGUUCAAAUCCGGCCUGGG